rnacentral:rRNA from 1 species
UACAGAGGUCCCAAGCGUUGUUCGGAUUCAUUGGGCGUAAAGGGUGCGUAGGUGGCUCCGUAAGUCGGGUGUGAAAUUUCGGAGCUUAACUCCGAAACUGCAUUCGAUACUGCGGUGCUUGAGGACUGGAGAGGAGACUGGAAUUCAUGGUGUAGCAGUGAAAUGCGUAGAGAUCAUGAGGAAGACCAGUGGCGAAGGCGGGUCUCUGGACAGUUCCUGACACUGAGGCACGAAGGCCAGGGGAGCAAACGGG